CUCGCAGCUGGCCAAGGCCCGCAAGCCCGGCAGUCGCUGACAGCCGCGGGGGUUCAAAUGAGCCCACCGAGCGACCGGCCGCUACGGCCGUGCGUGGCC
rnacentral:tRNA from 1 species